AGGGAAAGGAAGAGAAAAGGGAUUUAUAGAAAAAGGGAAUAGGGUGAAGAAGAAGGGAGAUUAGCAAGAGAUUUCAACUCUGAUUUAGAGGCUACCCAAAUCAGACAUCCUCCAGAUCGUGUUGGAUAGUGUUUCGUUGGGUUGUGCCACGGUGUAGCAUAUUUAGUGUUGGAUAUAGACUUUUUGUUGUUUUU